ACAAAAACAGAGUAGCAGGGCGCAUCUGACAACAGAUGUCGUUUGGAAGGGUCCACGUUAAGGAUAGCAAGUUGCAGGCGGCGGUAAAGUCCGGACAACCGCCAUGAGGGCAUAAGUUACAGGCAACGGGUCGCCUGGCCAUAUUAUCGGUCUCCUUCAUCCCACUCCUUGUACUCAUUAUGUCAGCUUCAUCGGGCAGGCAUUAGGAUACUGCGAACACUUGAUGUCGCAAACCCGUCAGGUUGGCCGAUCGGAUAGUAAUUCUGAAAUGGUAAUUGACCUAAAGCCC
rnacentral:lncRNA from 1 species